UGGAGCAGGGAGGGAAUCCUAAACUGAAAGAGUAGUUUCCAAAAUACUGCUUCUAACAAGGCAAGUGACUGAGGUACCUCAGAUUGGCAGUCACUGUCACCAAAUUGGAACUUGAGAGCUUAGCCAGGUACAAAGAAACAAGGGGAGAUAUUUUUCUUUUCCAUAGCCAAGUUUGUAAAGGUGUAAGUGCAUGUGUUAUUUUUAUUUCAGCAAAUACGCUUGGUACCUAAGUCAAGGUGGAGAAGACAAGGAUGAGUAUCUCCAGUGACUGACUGACACAGAUCAACAAACAAUAUCAUCAUCAAGACUGUGUCCAGGUCACAUGAUUAGCAACUGGUGAGUAGGGAUCAAUCCCAUGUGCGUUUGCCUUUGUUGCCUGCCUUUUAUUCACUAGGCCUUAAGAACUUGUGAAUCGAAUAAUAAGAUAGGUAUUGAAUUGUAAUAAAUAAUUCCACACAUGUCAUAAGAAAUGCAGGAAUAGAGUGAGGUAGGGGCAAGGAACGGGGAGUCACUACUGCCAAAGGGCUCAGGCAAUGUUACAUAGCAAAGUAAUUUUUUUAGCUUGUUUGAGCUAGGAUAAGUUUUGGAAGCAAUGAUUGGAAAGGAAGUUGUUCGGGGGAAGGAAAUCCUCUGCCAAGCCUGGCUUUAUAAAAGGUUUUGGCUUGUGCAAAGAAGGUUGAAAAGCUGGGCUGCCCAACCACAGCACAGAUCUGCCAGGGAACAGGUCCACCCUGGGAAGACGGGCCGAGCCAGAAUGGGAAGGCAAUGCAGAGUCAUGCAAUUUUAUAAAUACAGAAAUACUCGUGAUCGGAUUUGUGUUCAGAAAGAACUAACAUAGGGGAGAAUGGAAAGUAGACCGGGAGAGGCAAACAUAGGGAAGGAAGACCCAAGAAGGGGAGUCCCUUUGCAGUGAUCCAGGAGAACCAUGAUAAGGCCACCGAGGGCAAGGGUUUGCACGCACAUGGGCUUCCCCUGCACCCCAUGCCACAGCACUGGAAGAGCCUGAUGCAGCCCUUGGUGCAAGACUGAGUGGAGAUGCUGCCAGAAUAAAGCAACCAUCAGCAGCAGACCCACUGUGGAGUCUCCUGGGAAAGUGUGAACAUGACAGUAAACAGCUUACAUCAAAGACAUUUCAAUUCUGCAACAAGCCUUUCUGCUUCGGGUAAGUGAUAUACACCCAAACAAAACAUUAAUCGGAAGACCCAUUUUGUCUCCCUUGGGGAAUUGGAGCUAUAGGCAGAAUAAUCCUGCUGUCUAAGUGUGAUUUUGAACAUUAAAAUGAGUUCCUUUUAGGAAAUCUAGAGGCUGAGAGAAGCACCGUAAAUUGAGUAGGGAUUUCAUGAUAAUAAAAAAAAAGUCUUGCUGCAAAUAAACAUGAACAUUG